rnacentral:sRNA from 1 species
AGUACGCGGUGCUGGAGGGACACCCGUGCUGGGGUGGUGCUGGGUGCUCCGUGCUUCUGGGAGCUGCGUCUGCACUAGGUGCUGCGAAGAACUGCUUGUGGGGAGGUUCCGGGCAGCGGCUGAGUGCAGAGUUGCUCUUCUCCAAGGCAGUCUGAUCUGAUACUAAAACUACUUAAAGGAAGCGAGAAGGGUUAUGGCUCUCUGCUGGAAGACAAGAGUAAAUAAGCACAGACUCUGGGAACACGGGCAGAAGGAGUGGCUAGGUCAGGAUGAGCCCUAAUUAGCCAAGAAAGCCAAGUGAGCCUAGGAGGGGAGGGGGCUUGAUGGCUUUGGUACUGAGGGCCUUUGCCAACUAGGGAGCACUUAUCCUCUGACACCAUCCCGCAGUCCCUAACAGCAGGUCAAUACUGUGUCUUCCCAGUGUCACAGAUCCUAAGUGGAGCUGUACUGCAGCCUGGCUGGACUUGGCGUCUGUUUCAUGGGUGGAUAAUUAGGCAAGCCUGCCGUGGCCAGCUUGACAAAGCCUGCCCCUCCUUCCAGCUAGGCUUCCUUGGAUCCACUUUCUCCUCUGACUGCUCUGAGAGCCUUCAGCCCCUACCCUGAGCCGUUCCCCACAGGGGAGGUGGAAAGAGCGUGGGCUGGGGAUUCACGAUGUUGACCUGGGCUAGAACUCAGCUGCUUCCUUUCUGGGUGGCCUUGGCAAGGGCUCCCCUUCCUGAGUCACUCUCCUGGUCUGUAAAACAGAGCUCUUGAGAAGCCAGAUGCCAUGCUCUGAUGCCCAUCAACUCCCAGGACGAGACCCAUAUGGGAAGCAGUAGAGGCCAAGCUGACGACUGGAAUUCCAGCAGGCACUGCCACAGCAGGCUUUUUGUAAGUCCUAGGAGUCCACACUCAGGUGCUUAUACUUGUAUGACAAACAUUUUAAUCACUGAGCCAUCCUCCCAGUGCCUGCUCUUGUUUCCAGACUAACGUUUCAGGCCUACAUGCUCCAUAGCAACAGAUAAAUGUAAUUCUUCCGGCCGGGCGUGGCAGUGCACGCCUUUGAUCCCAGCACUCAGGAGGCGGCGUCAGGUGGGUCUCUGUGAGUUUGAGGCCAGCCUGGUCUCCUAGUGAGUACUAUCCAUGUAGCCAGAGCUACCCAUAGAGAGACUCGGUCUCAAAAACAGAAAUUCCACAGCCAAUAAUGUCACCUUUGAUGCCUGUGAGCUGGUGGGAAACAUGGGCUUCGUGGGAACACUUACCAGUGGGUGCCGAGACCCUCUCCUGGCUCCAGCUUCUGGGUCAGCAGGUGACAACUGUAAUACUGCUCAGCUCGUGAGUGUGGCAGAGGGAGAGGAAGUGAUUGACAAGGGGCCUGGUGACAUGGGAGUUUAUUAUUAUCAUGGUCUUUUGCUUUUUAUAUUAUUAUUAUUGUUAUUACUGUUAGUAUUAUUAUUAUUGUUGUUAUUACUGUUGUUGUUGUCUGGAUUUUGUUUUUGUUUUGUUUUGUUUUAGACUCUCUCAGCUGCCGGGAUUAUAGCCAUGCCCAGAUUUACACGGUGCUGAGUGCUGAGCCCAGGGCAUGCUGGGAAGGUACCCGACCACAUCCCCAACCCCAUCAUUUUCAUAAGCAGUAGAUAAUUCCUUUUCUCCAGGCAAGUCUUCGCUGCUCACCUCUUCUUCCAAGAAGCCUUCUCUGGCCACCCCAAGCUAUGUGGCACCUCUGGCCUCCUGCAACAAGGGUCAUUGCUUAUCUAUGGCCACCACACUGACCCCAUGUUGAGGGUACCCUUUGUGAAGCCAGCAAAGGGCUAAAGUCUCAAAGCUGGGACGGUAGACAUGGACACACAGUGGGGGCUCUGAAAAUGUGAUUUUUUUUUUAAAUAUAGCUGUGACCGCAGCCCAGGCUGCCUCCCUCAGAUUGUGCUGGACUGCCUCCCUCAGACUGUGCGGGUUUCUUUGUAUAUCACGGUGCCUGCUGGGGUUAUGUCAAUACAAGCAUUUGCACACA